CAGGCGUUCGAUCAAUGGCAAUGAUUUUAUAGCAUCUUUGGGUGUCGUGCCCCAACCCCCAGGGACCGAGUCGCAAUCCCACUCAACUAGGGAGGGACAGGGUCUUCAAUCCUAUGGACAUAGCUCUUAUAGGGGGGAGGUGGCUACGGAUCUUUAGGGUCACUCUGCUACACUUCUGCACGAAUCCAGAGUGUGAGUUGAGGGGCUCAUGCCUUCCUGCAGUCCUUUCUGACCACACCCACAGACUGCCUUGACUUCACCUGUGAGGCUUACUCAUGGAUCCCACCUGGAACCUGGGCAGGAGCUCAGAGGAGCACCCAAGAAGGGAGCGCAGACUGGAGGAAGGACUUGGCAUAAUCUCCUGUAGAAGCCAAAGAUACAAGGCAGAGGUGGGAAGGAGCUGCCUGGAAGCCCAGAGCUGAGAGCCUGGCCCCCUGACUGAUCUCUCCCUGUCCCCUGCAUCUGCCCCACCUGGAAUGCUGGUCUAUCCCAUCCGCUCUCAAAGCCUUACUGAAAAGUCAGUGGGGAUGCCACUCAAUCUGCGGCUCAGUGAAAGUGGGUCCUGCCCAUCGUCCCCUUGACCUUCCUCACCUCCUGUGAAAUGGGGAGGGCAGACAGGCUGUACUCCCACCUGGGGGAAGGUGAGGCCCAGACUGCUGACAGAGGUCUCCAAGACCUGGGAUUGAACCUC